rnacentral:rRNA from 1 species
AGAGUUUGAUCAUGGCUCAGAUUGAACGCUGGCGGCAUGCCUUACACAUGCAAGUCGAACGGCAGCGCGGGGCAACCUAGCGGCGAGUGGCGAACGGGUGAGUAAUAUAUCGGAACGUGCCCUGGAGUGGGGGAUAACGCAGCGAAAGUUGCGCUAAUACCGCAUACGAUCUAAGGAUGAAAGCAGGGGACCGCAAGGCCUUGUGUUCCUGGAGCGGCCGAUAUCUGAUUAGCUAGUUGGUGGGGUAAAGGCCUACCAAGGCAUCGAUCAGUAGCUGGUCUGAGAGGACGACCAGCCACACUGGAACUGAGACACGGUCCAGACUCCUACGGGAGGCAGCAGUGGGGAAUUUUGGACAAUGGGCGAAAGCCUGAUCCAGCAAUGCCGCGUGAGUGAAGAAGGCCUUCGGGUUGUAAAGCUCUUUUGUCAGGGAAGAAACGGUGCGGGCUAAUAUCCUGCACUAAUGACGGUACCUGAAGAAUAAGCACCGGCUAACUACGUGCCAGCAGCCGCGGUAAUACGUAGGGUGCAAGCGUUAAUCGGAAUUACUGGGCGUAAAGCGUGCGCAGGCGGUUUUGUAAGUUUGUCGUGAAAGCCCCGGGCUCAACCUGGGAAUUGCGAUGAAGACUGCAAGGCUUGAAUCUGGCAGAGGGGGGUAGAAUUCCACGUGUAGCAGUGAAAUGCGUAGAGAUGUGGAGGAACACCGAUGGCGAAGGCAGCCCCCUGGGUCAAGAUUGACGCUCAUGCACGAAAGCGUGGGGAGCAAACAGGAUUAGAUACCCUAGUAGUCC